rnacentral:tRNA from 2 species
GCCCAGGUGGUGGAACUGGUAGACACGCAGGACUUAAAAUCCUGUGACUUUUAUCGGUCGUACGGGUUCGAUUCCCGUCCUGGGUACCA